UUUAAAAGACAGACUCUGCAUUGUCUAGAUUAUGGAAAGCCUUGGAUCCCUUACUACUGAAAACAAUAAUCCACUUAAAAAGGCUUGAAACUGUGAGUGCUCGGAAUUUCCUGUUGAGGAUCAGAGCUGAUGCUGUGGUUGCUCCCGGGACAUGAAGCAGGGUCGGGUAACAGUCUCAAAGACCUGGGUCACCGGAAGAAUGUGACUCCUGACAUUCCCUUAAGUGGAACUUGAGAAUGGAAAAUAAUAAAGAAGAAUCCCGGGCCCUGAAGUGUGAGGGUACAGGAGGAGAGUGAGAGUUACCAAGCACCUGCUAUGUGCCAGACACCAUGCUGGCCAGCUAUACAGAGGUGGCUAAAUCGUGGUUUCCACUUCAUGCCUAAUGGAGUUGCUCAGUCACUGAUACUCGUACAAGUAUUAGAAGAUGUCCACCACAUGGAAAUAGAUGGGCUGCAACGGGAGAAGGUGAGAGACAACACCCAGGAGGAAAAAAUGGAGAAAGAAUCUGCACCUUGCCUUCAGUGGUUCCUGAGGUCUGCUGCACCCCUACUCUUCUUGUGGCUUGGCUGUUCUGGAAGAAAACCCAGGAUCAUUCAAGUGGGCUUCUAUUUUUUCUUAAGAUUGAACUCCUGAGAGACCUCUGGAACCAUCUCCAGCCCUCUGCCCUGAAGAAGAUCUGAAAUAACUUUCACAGAAAAUUCAAGUCUUAGAAGCAGAAGAGUAUUGUCUAUUAUAGCACAACGAUGUAUCUUAAAAAAAUAAAA